rnacentral:tRNA from 1 species
GGGGCUGUAGCUCAGUGGUAGAGCACUUGCCUACCAUUUACAAGGCCCUGGGUUCAAUUCCUAGCACUGCCA